UUAUUAUUUAUUAUUAUUUUCAAAGGAUAUUUGUAUUUAUAGAUUUUAACCAAUAACAAAGAAAAAAAUAGGUCAUUCAUAAUAGAAUAUGUCCUUGAGUCUCGAAAUGUCCAUAAAUCACGCACUUGCUAAUCGAAGAAUUUUGUGUAAAUACGAAGAAAUCGUACAGUACGUAUGAUUAAAUAAAAUUAAAUUUUAUAAGAACAAUCUAUCUGCACGCGCACGUGUUUUAUUAGUAUUAUUAAUUUUUCGCUUUUAUAAUCUUGAAAUAUUUCGUGUUAAUAAUUUCGAAUAUUUAAAUCAUGUUACAAAUAUGAUAAAUCUGUCUUGUUAUUUAGGAUAUAUAUUAGGAUGUAUAUUUGAUCAUUGUUAUGCGAUUUUUAAAAUAUAUACGUCAUUUUCAGAGCGAGAAAGAGAGACAGAGAGAGAGAGACAGAGAGAGAGAUUGUUUUAAAGGCAAAUGUGUUGAUUCUGUGAUUAAGUAAAUACAUAGUUAUUAGCGUGGGUAGUAUAUUAUGUAGAAGAUUAGUUAUUAAGAAGGUGUUAGCGUAGUAUAUCAAGUGGCAUACUAAAUAGAGGAUUCUGUUUUACGUAUGUGAACAUAUAUAUAUACAUAUGUGUGUAUGACAGCAUAUAUGAUAGCAUAAUUAUGCAAUGGAAUGUUAAUCGAGAGUUCGAUAAGAUCGAAAAAUCGGAACGAUAAAUUGACAAGUUCGUGGAAUUUGAAAAUUUAAAAAAAUUUGUAUUUUUAUGAAAAAUGAGAAUGGUUGUAUGAAAUUUGAAUUAUUUCAGGAUUUAAAAAUUACAAACAUUUUUUCUAGAAUCGCAAAAAUUCGAAGGAAACAAGUGUUGAUGAAACUUUGGAAAUUUUUGAGAAAGAUUUGAAAGUUUAUUCGAAGAUAAUUUAAAGAAGGCGUUUAAUGAUAGGCGUUAUUCUAAAUAAUAGUUAAUAUAUUCGUGAUAAAUUCGUGAUAGAAAAAUAUUUCAUUCGUCACAAUAAACAAAUAUCGCUAUCAGUCGGUUCCAGUGAAAUUUUAUCAUUUUAUCAUUUACAUUGUACAAGAUAAAAGUCAUAAAUUUCAAAUAUCCAUACAAUUUGAAAACACGAAGAUGUUGAAAUUAUUAAUAAAAGAAGACAUGUGCGUCUGGUUUCGCUACAUUUUUUUUUUUUUUUUUUUUUUUUAAAGGAAUAAAGCAAUCGGUCGACCGACGACCAGAAAAUAACUUUCUAUCUAAUCUGGCAAACAAGUUUUGCUGAUGUACAUAAAUACAGUUGGUUAUUGGAAAUAGGAAAAACGGAAUUGAAGAAACGUUCAAUAUGCAAAUGCUCAUCGCAAACAAUGGAACUCACGUAACUCCAUUAAUCUCCUGAUUAACCGGUUACUCUACUUAGCGAUAUCCCUAAUAAUAAUCCACGAGUAUCGAGUAAUUUACGAUAAAAUUUCCGUGUAACAACGGCGUUCCACUUUGAAAAAUCCAUCGAAAUGUUAAAUGAAGUUACGUAGAAAGGAAAAAAAAAAAAAAAAAAAAAAAAAA